UUAAGUUCAGCGGGUAUCCCUACCUGAUCCGAGGUCAAGAGUUAAAAAAGGCUUCAUGGACGCAAGCGUUCCAGUCGAGAUUCGCAAAAUGUGCUGCGCUCCCAGGCUAGUACGCCGGCUGCCAAUUGCUUUGAGGCGAGUCCACGCAGAAAGCGGGACAAACACCCAACACCAAGCAGAGCUUGAAGGUACAAAUGACG
rnacentral:misc_RNA from 1 species